AUUGAACGCUGGCGGCAGGCCUAACACAUGCAAGUCGAACGGUAACAGGAAGCAGCUUGCUGCUUCGCUGACGAGUGGCGGACGGGUGAGUAAUGUCUGGGAAGCUGCCUGAUGGAGGGGGAUACUACUGGAAACGGUAGCUAAUACCGCAUAAUGUCGCAAGACCAAAGAGGGGGACCUUCGGGCCUCUUGCCAUCGGAUGUGCCCAGAUGGGAUUAGCUUGUUGGUGGGGUAACGGCUCACCAAGGCGACGAUCCCUAGCUGGUCUGAGAGGAUGACCAGCCACACUGGGACUGAGACACGGUCCAGACUCCUACGGGAGGCAGCAGUGGGGAAUAUUGCACAAUGGGCGCAAGCCUGAUGCAGCCAUGCCGCGUGUAUGAAGAAGGCCUUCGGGUUGUAAAGUACUUUCAGCGGGGAGGAAGGGAGUAAAGUUAAUACCUUUGCUCAUUGACGUUACCCGCAGAAGAAGCACCGGCUAACUCCGUG
rnacentral:rRNA from 1 species